AGGAAUCCUCUAGACCGAGUUUAGAGCAAUUAUUUCAUGCAACCGAUGAUGCCAAAAAUGCGGGGGUGCGCGGGACGAGGUGAGCGAAGUCCCGUGCCGUGAUUGGUCCGUUCAAACACACGGACGUCACACAAAUACACUUUCGACUCGAACAUGGAGUAAAAUUACCGUAUACGUGGCAGAGGGGGUAGCGCGACUAUGUCAGGCAGUCUGGUGGAUGUCUUGUCUGUGGUUCGGAUAUACUAUACAAUGUACACGUUCUCUAAAUAAUGUAGCUUUAAUGCAGUUUAUUUUAAAUAUUGCUUACACGGUGUCGGAGUACACGGAAUCUUACUAUAAUCGCGAACGUUCCGGAGCUACAGUCCAGCGCGUCGGGUUCCAUAAAUACGAUCAAUGACUUCUCCAAACUCAAGCUAGGAUCCGCUCGCUAGAUGGGGUUAAAUUGCUACAGAUGUAGUGCAACUAGUGCAUAAUGGGGUUGGCCGGUCGAAGUAUUAAGCAGAUGGCGCCAUCAUAGCUUGCCCUGUCAAUCCCUAGAAUUGUGUCAAAUUUUUGUUUUUUUAAUGCCCUGGAUGCCAGCUCUUUAAGCCAAAUCUCAUAGAAAAAGGGGCAAGCUAUGAUGGCGCCAUCUAUGCAAACCUUUGACAGUUGCCAACCCUAUUAUUUUCCAUUCAUAGAGGUACAAUAAUAUAGAGAUGACACGGGGGAGGGGCUAAACGACCGAACGAGAUGCACUUAUGGAAAAUUCAGUAGGAGUAGCAGAGAAAGCGGUAUUAUUGCUUGUCCUUGUCACAGUCUCUCUUUUUGUUUGUUCCCCACCAAAAAAUUAGUAUGGUUUAUGGUGGGCAACAAAUAACCCAACCGAAUUACGUAGAUUGUUUUUGGUAUGUCAGUAAUGUUAAAACGUGUUUUCAAUAUUGUCGCUUUGCGUAUAUUUUGUCCCUCACGGAGGCACGCGUAUAGCUCAUCUAUGUAAUACUAGGUCUAUGUUUCCAUCGUAUUUUGACGAAAACGUACGAACGUGUCUUGUCUUGCUAUUUCAGUCUCGGUCUCGGUACAAAAAGUACCGAGGUUGACUGAAGUAGCAUGACCAUGCCAAAUACGAACGUUUCCGGGAAAAUACGAUGGCUAACAAUUAUGCACUGCACUACAUCUGUAAUUGCUUGCCACAGAAGGCGCUUUGGGGAAAGGGUUCCAAGUUGUCUGUAGAUCUGUAGUCUAUGGUAUAUGUUUUCCGAUAUUUGCUAACGUAGGUAUUUUAGGUGUAGGUACAUUUUAUUAGAUUCGCAAAAUAUGAUACAAAAAUCAGCAAAAAAUACAAAUAACCAACGUUGGUUUGUUUUUAAAAUUUAGUACCAAAACAAUUCAUUUGUUUGUUUUUUAACUCGAUAUCGCAUCUGAAAUGAAAAUCAGAAUUCAAUUCUAAAUUUAAUGCUUUUAAUUUGUCACAUAAUAUCACUCGGAACCAUUUCACUACAACGCAAUCUGUGUUGAGCUUUUGGCGUUUGAUCUCCUUCACCUGUUCAAUAGGGAAUAUUACGCAAAACUCCGCGUAGAGGGCGCCACUAUCACAAACAGGGUCUACCGCGAAACACGAAGUGAAAGAGAGGCAGAUAACGAAAAUCGGUAGGCCUCUGUAAACACCGCCUUGAUGCAUCAAUGUCAUAGUGAUAACCAAAGAGAAUAUAAUCACUACGUGAUUCGUCAAAAAACUGUUUAAAGCAUUGUAUGUACAAGUCUAUGGUUUACAAUUUGUGCUAGUGCUGCACUCUGGCGGCAGAACAUUGCAGUAAUACCCAUAAUAUUGUAAUAUUCUGUAUUAUCCAGUUUAAUUUAAGUACCUUACGUUACCUGUCCACUGUAGGUAGCCGAUUUAGAAAUAAAGCUUUUUCAUAAAAAAAUGUUUAUUGCUCUUGUACAAGAAUAAAAAAAUAUAACAACAGUAAAGAUCAGAUCGACCAAAGAAGAAUUGUUUUUUGACAUUAAAUCUCAGAUUUAUUUUAUUCUAGUUUCGUCAAUCUGGCCUUGACUGAUUAAGGCAAGGUAUUUCUGGCCAAUAUGUGAUAUUUUCGAUCCUCGAAAUAGCAUCACAGAGUGAUAUUGAAUACCUCACCUUAAUGUAAAUAAAUGCACAUUUCACUUAAAUAUAUACAUUGAUGUUAGAUGUA